rnacentral:rRNA from 1 species
GACGAACGCUGGCGGCGUGCCUAAUACAUGCAAGUCGAACGCACAGUUUAUACCGUAGCUUGCUACACCAUAGACUGUGAGUUGCGAACGGGUGAGUAACGCGUAGGUAACCUGCCUGGUAGCGGGGGAUAACUAUUGGAAACGAUAGCUAAUACCGCAUAAUAUUAAUUAUUGCAUGAUAAUUAAUUGAAAGGUGCAAUUGCACCACUACCAGACGGACCUGCGUUGUAUUAGCUAGUAGGUGAGGUAACGGCUCACCUAGGCGACGAUACAUAGCCGACCUGAGAGGGUGAUCGGCCACACUGGGACUGAGACACGGCCCAGACUCCUACGGGAGGCAGCAGUAGGGAAUCUUCGGCAAUGGACGAAAGUCUGACCGAGCAACGCCGCGUGAGUGAAGAAGGGUGUCGGAUCGUAAAGCUCUGUUGUAAGAGAAGAACGGGUGUGAGAGUGGAAAGUUCACACUGUGACGGUAUCUUACCAGAAAGGGACGGCUAACUACGUG